UACGUAGGCAGCAAGCGUUGUUCGGAGUUACUGGGCGUAAAGGGUGUGUAGGCGGUUCUUUUAAGUUUGGUGUGAAAUCUCCCGCUCAACCGGGAGGGUGCGCCGAAAACUGAAGGGCUAGAGUGCGGGAGAGGAGAGUGGAAUUCCUGGUGUAGACGGUGAAAUGCGUAGAUAUCAGGAGGAACACCGGUGGUGUAAACGGCUCUCUGGACCGUAA
rnacentral:rRNA from 1 species